AUUGAACGCUGGCGGAAUGCUUUACACAUGCAAGUCGAACGGCAGCACGAGGGCAACCUUGGUGGCGAGUGGCGAACGGGUGAGUAAUACAUCGGAACGUGCCCAGUCGUGGGGGAUAACGUAGCGAAAGCUACGCUAAUACCGCAUACGAUCUAUGGAUGAAAGCGGGGGACCGUAAGGCCUCGCGCGAUUGGAGCGGCCGAUGGCAGAUUAGGUAGUUGGUGGGGUAAAGGCUCACCAAGCCUGCGAUCUGUAGCUGGUCUGAGAGGACGACCAGCCACACUGGAACUGAGACACGGUCCAGACUCCUACGGGAGGCAGCAGUGGGGAAUUUUGGACAAUGGGCGCAAGCCUGAUCCAGCCAUUCCGCGUGCAGGAUGAAGGCC
rnacentral:rRNA from 1 species